GCACGUCCCAGACCUUUUCCAGUCUGGCAGCUACACCGUUAGAAACCUUGCGUUUGGUGAUUAUGGGCAUAACAUUGGCAAUGCCCUUUUCUCAUGCUUGGUUGCUGUCUGGUAUUAUUCGACAGCUUGUAAUAGUAUCCGUAUAUGCCUACCCUACGCAACUGGGCGUACUCCUUGCAAUGGACUUUUUACAGUUCCUACUUAUCCGGUUUUAACGCUGUUUUAUUGGCGCAAAGGUUUACGGAUAAACAACUAAUAAUUAAACCUUUUGUGUGCGAAACGUGGUUGUUUAACGUACUCUUUAAUCGCUCCGAAGCGAACACACUGUUUUGAUUUUAGGGCAAAACUAUCUUUCGAUUAAAAAACCUUUUUGUUU
rnacentral:sRNA from 12 species